rnacentral:rRNA from 1 species
GACGUAGGGCGCGAGCGUUGUCCGGAUUUAUUGGGCGUAAAGAGCUCGUAGGCGGCUUGUCGCGUCGACCGUGAAAACUUGGGGCUCAACCCCUAGCUUGCGGUCGAUACGGGCAGGCUGGAGUUCGGUAGGGGAGACUGGAAUUCCUGGUGUAGCGGUGAAAUGCGCAGAUAUCAGGGAGGAACACCGGUGGCGAAGGCGAGUCCCUGGACAACACCUGACACUGAGGCAGCGAAAGCUAGGGGAGCAAACCAGG